UGAGUCCGCCGGGCGAUCGCGGCCCCAUUUGGCGACUAGCCAACACGCUCCUGCGUGUUGGGGCUGAGGAAAGUCCGAACUCCGCAGGGCAGGGCGCCGGCUAACGGCCGGGUGCGGUGACGCAACGGAAAGUGCCACAGAAAAGACACCGCCGAAAGAAAGGAUGAAGGCGGAAGGAUGAAGGAUGAAACUCAUACAUCAUCCGCCAUUCAUUCUUCAGCCCUCAUCCCUCAUCCUUUCUUUCGGUAAGGGUGAAAAGGUGCGGUAAGAGCGCACCGCGCUGAUGGUAACAUCAGUGGCAGGGCAAACCCCGCCCGGAGCAAGACCAAGUAAGCCGCGAGUCUUUCCGGCCCGGAGAGCGCAAGACGCGGCGGGUAGGUCGCAGGAGGUCGUGAGCAAUCACGAUCCCAGACAGAUGAUCGCCACUUUUCCGAUUCCGGCAGGGACACAGUCCCUGCUCGGCGGAGGGAAAGAACAGAAUUCGGCUUACCGGCGGACUCGACUA
rnacentral:RNase_P_RNA from 1 species